GAAAAGUUUUCACCAAUCCAACCAAGGAUGUUAAUGUUUCAGUCCUCAGUUAACAUUGUAUGCUAUGCAAUAAAAAGCAUGUAAAACUGAUUGAAUUUGUAAUUAUUGUUCCUCUGAACACCUCCGUAGAAUCACGCCCAGUGCCCCAUUUUGCCCAUGCUGUUGUUAACCAUUUAAGUUCAAGUCUACAGCCUUGGCAAACUACUAACUUAUAGUUGCUAAAAGAUUACUGCAAUCAGAAGCAAGUUUGAACUGUGAAUACC
rnacentral:misc_RNA from 1 species